rnacentral:misc_RNA from 1 species
AAGUCGUAACAAGGUUUCCGUAGGUGAACCUGCGGAAGGAUCAUUAGUGAGAGCCUGCUGCAGACUCGUGCGAGUCUGUGCGCACACGCGCCAUCCUUGUGUUGUGUGUGACGUGUUGUGUGCGCAAUGCCACUGUUGCCAAGGUGGCGGUGGCAUCUGCGCAUGUGCAUUUUUUUCACUCCAUUUCAUCGCAUUUAUUCUAAUUACUGCUGCUCGCAUGAGCACAAACAACCGAAAACUGCCAGCAAUGGAUCACUCAGUUCUC